UAGGGAAGUCUGUUUGAGAUUUAUCUGAUGUGGAAGCUCAUUAGAAGAUCGUCCGUCGGGGAAGUCUGAUUUUAUAGGGAGCCUGGUAGGAGGUCGGUCGGUGAUGGACUUCGGAUAGCACUGGAGAGGCUCGACAGACAUCAGAGGCGAUCGGCUAUCGCGGGGACCCAGUUGCUGGAGCUCGUCCGUCAUAGAAGCUUGUCUGGAAUCCAUCUGC
rnacentral:lncRNA from 1 species